CUGUCCUCUGGUCAUGAUGGGACUGUUUUCUCUAGAACUACCAGUAACUGUGAAUAUUCUUCUGAUGCCCACUUAAAACUGGGCCCACUGGUUUUUAGUUAUGGAGAGUGGAGGACUCAAGAGGCACCCCAAGGAUUUAUAAUCACUGCGAGGGGAAAGGAGCUCAUGAAGUGCCCCCUUUCCCAAGUAUGGAUGUAGUUAACAGCUGCUGGAGGGGACAGGUGAUUUUCUUCAGUGGUGUAACUGCCUCACCUUUUCUGGACAAGAAGACCUUUCUUCAUAUCUCCUCAGAAAAAGUUCACAUAACAGCACCCUUGGUUCAGAGGAGGCACUGAGAAUCCUAGCAUGUGGAGGGGGCAACGCAGGAAAGCUAACUGACUGGACUCUUCCCCCAGCAACCAAUGGUGACUUGGAUAUGUGCAAACUUCAACUUGAAUUAUCUACUUGGCCUCUCAUCUAAUAUGGGCUUCCAGAUUUUUGUUCUGUCUCCACGACUGAGUAUUGAUCAAGUGACUGACUGUUCUGCUGGGGCUAGAGCCCAAGAUCUCCUAUAGGCGCACACUCUAACCACUGAGCAGCAUCAACAGACAUCCUGUCUCUGUAUCUUUCAUCCCCUGAAGUUCAAGCUCUAAGGCAGUAGCUAGAGCCAAUGCUAGUGUCAAUACACGCUGUUUUCUAAGUCUUCCUGGACCAGCAGAUUCUCUAACACAAUCCUCAAUACAGUCAGACCCAGAGGAUUUCCAGAUUCUUCUCUCUAAGCUACAUUUCUGAGGCCUAAUUUGAUGCUUCAAUUUUUCCCAAGAUUAAUUAACCCAGGAAAUAAGAAGAAUAACAACUAUUGAAUAAAAUAGAAAACACAAUAGAACCCAGUGAAUAUAAAGGUGAUUUAUGAACUUUAAAGUCAGGAUAUUAAAAGUCCAGACUUGUAACCUUAAUUCAAUUCUCCUUAGCAGUGGGACCUUCAAUUAAAUUAUCCCAGAACCAGUUGCUACAAACUAUGGUGAAAGUGGAGAAACUCUUCUUCCCCACAGCACGGGGAACUACAGAGCCCUGUAAAGGGAAACUUGCCAAGGGGUGGCCCAUGGGGUGACUGCCUGUGCUGUCUUCACUUUGAACGAACCAUAGGACUCCAUUCUUAAGCAUUCUCCAGUUGCCCUGUGGGAAAAUCGAGUUUUAUUCAUUCUAAGAACAGGUCAGGAGGUUGUAAAUGUAUCAUCUUUCUCACUGGACUUAGUCCUCUUCCCACAGAGAGAUUCCAGCCAAGAAUUUGGGAACGUAGACUGAGAGGUAGAAAUCAUCUACUUUUUAAAACAAAGAGUGUUUUUCAGAAACCAUUGAAGUCAGUUUUUUUUUUUUAACAAUAUCCAUCGAUUGAUGAAUAACCCACCACUCUAAUGUGAACAGCUGCCAACUAUCCCAUCUCCCAAGGAGUCUAAGAACAACAACAACAACAACAACAAAAGAAUAUGAGGAGACAGGUCAGUAAGGAGGACCAAAACACGGCAGGACAAAACAAUUCUUUAUGUAUGCACUGUAAGUGAGCAGAGACAACUGACAUGUCAAGGGUCAGCACUCUUGCUAGGAUGUGUGAGAGAAAUAACAGAGAGUCUGAGAUGAUGGCAUAAGGCAUACGCUGGUCAUGAAGGGACACUUGUAAACUCUGCUCAUAUGUUCUGUACUAAGACUUGUCUCUCUUGUUCUCAGAUGAUGACAUAUAUGGAAGUAAAGUGACUUGUGCAAUAGCAACAAAAGAAUCAAAUGACAGAGCCUACAGCCUUUCUACCACAUUGUGCUGUCUCAAAAGUCUUACUUUCCACUACCAUACAGUUCUAGUGCUCCUGACCUGGGUGCAAUGCAGACAUAAGGAGCAAGAGUCUAUGGGGAUUUUGAAUAUUUCAACUGAUUGUUAUUAUCAACUUGUCAUUUAUUUUGUUGGCACAAAUACAGCCUUAGAAGGUCAGACAUGGGAAGAUGUAAGUAGUUUUAUGGACACUGUGCUGUCUGUCCUCCUGAUGACACGGUGCUGAAAACUAUGGAAAUGAAAUCUCCUUUGGGAUCUAACUGCAGCAUAGCAUCUCCUUAUUUGGUACAGGAAGGCUUUCUUUAGUGAGUCCAUGGGAAUAUGGAUAGCAGGAUACAAGGAAGCAUUCACAUCUGCUUCCAUAACAAUUUCUUUUUAGUAAAGUCAUGCAUGCCAAAUAUGUUUAAGACUCAUUGUGGAUAAUUCUUCAUACAGGGGAAUACAAGUUUAACUAGGGAAAAAAACACCACUAGGAAAUCACAGAGGAAGUGUUAGCAGAGCACACAAGCUACUAGACCAGCCUGAAGUCACAACCGUGCCUGAUAAUUGUGAGGCUUCUAUAGUCUUCUACCAGGAGUAAGCAAUGGCAUUUAUUUACAUAAGCUCUUUUAGAGAACUAUGGGUGUCAAAAGGCAAGCAGGAGGCAGUCUAACAGCUGCAGAAAGAUCAUGGACACUGCAUAAGGUAUUCUCUGUACAUCUAACUCAUUAUUCAAAAAUAUUACUUAGGUUCAAAGGAAGAUAGCAAUUGUAUGAUUAACUAACAUGUUUCUAAGACUUAAAAGCA